AGAACGAACGCUGGCGGCAGGCCUCAAACAUGCAAGUCUAGGGGGUGUAGCAAUACAUCACCGGCGGACGGGUGCGUAACGCGUGGGAAUAUACCUAUUGGUUCGGAACAACUGAGGGAAACUUCAGCUAAUACCGAAUGUGUCCUAACGGAGAAAGAUUUAUCGCCAAUAGAUUAGCCCGCGUUCGAUUAGCUAGUUGGUGGGGUAACGGCCCACCAAGGCGACGAUCGAUAGCUGUUCUGAGAGGAAGAUCAGCCACACUGGGACUGAGACACGGCCCAGACUCCUACGGGAGGCAGCAGUUGGGAAUCUGGACAAUGGGGAAACCCUGAUCCAGCCAUGCCGCGUGAGUGAUGAAGGCCUUGGGUUGUAAAACUCUUUCGCGCACGACGAUAAUGACGGUAGUGCGAGAAGAAGCUCCGGCUAACUUCGUGCCAGCAGCCGC
rnacentral:rRNA from 1 species